ACCACCUAGUGGUAACUACCACCUAAGAAUCCACCGUCGAUCUUCUGUCAUUAGAUUCGGGUUUGGUUUGUUUUUUUCUCUUUGAUUGCUACAGAAUCUUAACGAGUUAGGCUAGCUUCCACCCGACCCGUUUCAUUAUUAAUUAUAUUUAUUAGAUUAAUUGGUGGUUAUCCACGGCGUACUCAUCGGCAUAGCUUAUCCGAGAAAAUUUGAAUGCAUGACUAUCUUUUCGUACGUCCUUAUCCGGCUACUAACCAACUUUGCAAUUUUUUCCACGUAAAAAUAGAUUUAUUAGUAUACUCUGGUUACGAACCAAAAUAGUUUUAUUUGCUCGACCUCCUGUUCUGCCUGGGCGACACCUCCCUCAACGCCUGGAGACGGCGGAUCGGCGUCUUCGCCGUGGGUCACACCGGCUGGACGACACAUCUGAUGCAGUGCAAACCACGGCUGGCCGACGUCGUUCUUUAGUACCACACAAUUCAGUUUUUUUGGUUAUGGCCAACGAUGGUCAAUUUCGACCAAUUUGAUCAGGAGCAUCUGGUACAUGAAGGCCGGCAUGCAUGAAGAGGAUGACAAGGCGAAGUUAGAUUCUGCACGCAGCACCACUGGAUACUUCAUAUAGUACGACCUGCACCCGUGCACCCCGCAACUACGAUUACGGCUCCACGUAUUAGUCGUGUGGUGCAUCUCUAGUAGACUAGACGAGGCUUGUAUCGCAGGUACGGCAGUACGCGCAUGAAUCAUUGAAGCAACUGAGACACAUCGCUGCCACCGUUAAUCAUCGUGUGGUGGUAUCUGCUACGAACUACAAAGUCAAAGGCAUAGAUCUUUGUUGCGUGCCUACUUGCCUUUGAUGCAUGCACCACACCAUGUCUGCAUGACGUGUACAUAGCAGAAAUGGAAUGCUUCAACUCAUUGUAUAGUUCUGUUGUAUAUGAUGUUCUGCAUACUCAUUGUACACUUAUAUACAUACUCUGUUCAUUCUA